CGGGGAGGCCGCGGGGCCCCUGCAGGCCCUGGGCGCCGGGAGAGCCGCGCUCACCGGGGAAGCCACGCUCGCCCUGUGGACAGCAGGGACAGCUCAGCGGGGACACGGGGACACCGGCAGGGGUGGCACCAAGGGGCUUUUAGGGUGGAGUGGCACCAUAAUGUGAAUUUUUGAUGUUUGUGGGGACAGAAAACCUCACCCUCAGUCCUGGCGCUCCGGGAAGUCCUUUCUCGCCAGCUUUUCCAGGCUCACCCUACAGAAGGUUUGCCAGGAGGUCCCGGAGGUCCCCGGGGACCCAUCGGACCCUGAAGAGGACAAAGAAGUGGCAAUCCGGCACGGCUCCGGCUUCCACACGUCCUUGUCGCUGUAGCGGUGCCCGUCCUGCAGGCAGCUGCCAGCCUCGGCUGCGGGGACAGCGCGGGGACAGCGCGGGGACAGCGCGGGGACAGCGCGGGGUAAGGAGCAUGG